GGUCUGGAGACCCUCGUCUGGC
rnacentral:miRNA from 1 species